rnacentral:rRNA from 1 species
CCAUGGGGGGCUUGCUAUACUGCAAGUCGAACGCACAGCGAAAGGUGCUUGCACCUUUCAAGUGAGUGGCGAACGGGUGAGUAACACGUGGACAACCUGCCUCAAGGCUGGGGAUAACAUUUGGAAACAGAUGCUAAUACCGAAUAAAACUUAGUGUCGCAUGACACAAAGUUAAAAGGCGCUUUGGCGUCACCUAGAGAUGGAUCCGCGGUGCAUUAGUUAGUUGGUGGGGUAAAGGCCUACCAAGACAAUGAUGCAUAGCCGAGUUGAGAGACUGAUCGGCCACAUUGGGACUGAGACACGGCCCAAACUCCUACGGGAGGCUGCAGUAGGGAAUCUUCCACAAUGGGCGAAAGCCUGAUGGAGCAACGCCGCGUGUGUGAUGAAGGCUUUCGGGUCGUAAAGCACUGUUGUAUGGGAAGAACAGCUAGAAUAGGGAAUGAUUUUAGUUUGACGGUACCAUACCAGAAAGGGACGGCUAAAUACGUGCCAGCAGCCGCGGUAAUACGUAUGUCCCGAGCGUUAUCCGGAUUUAUUGGGCGUAAAGCGAGCGCAGACGGUUGAUUAAGUCUGAUGUGAAAGCCCGGAGCUCAACUCCGGAAUGGCAUUGGAAACUGGUUAACUUGAGUGCAGUAGAGGUAAGUGGAACUCCAUGUGUAGCGGUGGAAUGCGUAGAUAUAUGGAAGAACACCAGUGGCGAAGGCGGCUUACUGGACUGUAACUGACGUUGAGGCUCGAAAGUGUGGGUAGCAAACAGGAUUAGAUACCCUGGUAGUCCACACCGUAAACGAUGAACAC